rnacentral:lncRNA from 1 species
UGCCAUACAAGUCAUAUAAGCCGAGAACCUAUCGCGGACUUUAAAUUGGUACGAAUCAGGUAGAAAUCGCAACAGGAAAAGUGAUAGCCGGCUAGUCACCGCACAAACCUUAAAACCGAGAGUAAACCUAGGUCUUGCCCUAAACCCAUCGCAUUGGUCUUAGACAUCUCAAGACAUGAUAUCUAAACGAUAUGAGAAACUAAAACAUGUCUCUCCGUUCAUAUCUUGACGUUUCCAAAAGUCCGUAAGAAUAAAUAAUUUUUAUGAAAAAACUCACGAAAAAACUCACGAACAAACUAACAGAUUGAACGCCUCAACGAAGUUAAAUAUGAAAAGACAACUCAUGUUUACUUCAAACCCACCCGAAACAAAGUAACUCAAACAAACAUCCAUUAUAUAAACUGCAUAGCGGUAGGGGUUCAAAGCCACCAA